rnacentral:rRNA from 1 species
GAUGAACGCUGGCGGCGUGCCUAAUACAUGCAAGUCGAGCGAACGGACGAGAAGCUUGCUUCUCUGAUGUUAGCGGCGGACGGGUGAGUAACACGUGGAUAACCUACCUAUAAGACUGGGAUAACUUCGGGAAACCGUAGCUAAUACCGGAUAAUAUUUUGAACAGCAUGGUUCAAAAGUGAAAGACGGUCUUGCUGUCACUUAUAGAUGGAUCCGCGCUGCAUUAGCUAGUUGGUAAGGUAACGGCUUACCAAGGCAACGAUGCAUAACCGACCUGAGAGGGUGAUCGGCCACACUGGAACUGAGACACGGUCCAGACUCCUACGGGAGGCAGCAGUAGGGAAUCUUCCGCAAUGGGCGAAAGCCUGACGGAGUAACGCCGCGUGAGUGAUGAAGGUCUUCGGAUCGUAAAACUCUGUUAUUAGGGAAGAACAUAUGUGUAAGUAACUGUGCACAUCUUGACGGUACCUAAUCAGAAAGCCACGGCUAACUACGUG